rnacentral:rRNA from 1 species
CGGUUGGUGGUCUAGUGGCGCACGGGUGCGUAACGCGUGGGAAUCUGCCCCUUGGUUCGGAAUAACAGUUAGAAAUGACUGCUAAUACCGGAUGAUGACGAAAGUCCAAAGAUUUAUCGCCGAGGGAUGAGCCCGCGUAGGAUUAGCUAGUUGGUGAGGUAAAGGCUCACCAAGGCGACGAUCCUUAGCUGGUCUGAGAGGAUGAUCAGCCACACUGGGACUGAGACACGGCCCAGACUCCUACGGGAGGCAGCAGUGGGGAAUAUUGGACAAUGGGCGCAAGCCUGAUCCAGCAAUGCCGCGUGAGUGAUGAAGGCCUUAGGG